UACCAGCACCCCGAGUGGUCGGGACGUUUAUUGGGCCUAAAGCAUCCGUAGCCGGUUCUACAAGUCUUCCGUUAAAUCCAGCUGCUUAACAGAUGGGCUGCGGAAGAUACUAUGGAGCUAGGAGGCGGGAGAGGCAAGCGGUACUCGAUGGGUAGGGGGUAAAAUCCGUUGAUCCAUUAAGACCACCAGUGGCGAAGGCGGCGUUGCCAGAACGCGCUCGACGGUGAGGGAUGAAAGCUGGGGGAGCAAACCGG
rnacentral:rRNA from 1 species